UGAAACAGGUAUUUAUGAUGACGUCAGCAAGGUAGAGCGGCGCGCGGCGGCUGCCACUCGGGUUUGGACGCGUGAGAGCUUUUGCUCGAGACCUGAAGACACUUCCUGAGCUUCGCUAAAACAGCAAGUUAUACAGGGUUAGAACAACAUUAAACAUUAGCUCAAGGCCGAUGUGUCCAUCCCAUGUAAACAUUGAGACUGUCAGCAGGGGAGAGUGAGCGGUCGUUCACUGGAUCCACCCCAGCCAAGGGACAGACAACUACUGAUAGAUUUAUACAGUUUAUGAUGACUACUCGAGGUAAAAGUGAAGGAUGCCGGAUCUGUGGGAGUGACCUGCAAGGUAACCAGCGGCGAUGGCUGUAUGCAGGACAAAACAGAAAGGGGACACAACCUCAGACGCCGACAGACUUUUCUAGCAAGGGAAGCUUGCCCAGAUCGGCACAGAGCAGCCCAUGGGGUA